AGCAAAAUCAAUCCCCCCUUUAAUGGCCCAUAUUAUGUAGAAGCUAUGUUCUACAUAGAUUACAGAAAUAUGCCGCUACGCGAGGAAGACUUUAAGUCAAUCGCACUUCAAGUUGAUUUGAUUUUAAAGGAUCCCUCAUUUCCAAUAGAGGCAUAUUUCGUUCUCAAAGGGAUUCGACCUUAUAAUGACAUUGUUACCAAAGGGGAAAGAUAUAGAGAUAUAUUUUGCCAAAACACUGCUCAAGCUCGCUUAGAUAAAAAAGAAGAUGUCUCUUACUUGAUUUCAGC